rnacentral:ncRNA from 1 species
AGAACUAUCACUGUGAGAAGUAGAAUGAUAGGGUAACGCCUUGAAAUGCUUCCUCUAAUACUUCGAAUAGCAAUAGGUUGAGUAAACAACCUAUUGUUAUAAGCUCGAGGAAGUCGGCUGAGAGUACUCCGUAAGGUCUAACCUUUGCGUUAGAUACACGAAAUGCGAACCAGAGGUGGUCGAGAGUAUGAUAGGUCGGGAGUCGAUUA